AAGUCCUGUUUUAAAGUUUUAGUUAGGACUAUAGGUUUUCACUAAAUACACAAUAAUACAAAAUUAAUAAAAACUGAUGUUUGAAGCAAUUUUUUUACGUAUAUGACCCACCUUAAUUCUAUCAAGUUGUUAUAAAAAAAUAAUUCUAAUUUUUUUCUCAAAGUUUAGAUGGCAAAUGUCUUCAUACAACGAAAUUAUAAAAAUAUUUGUCAUAUUUAGAUAAAUAAAAAACUAAUAAUUAUAUUUUAAAUAAUUUUACAUCAAUCUAGUCAAUGUUCUAGGGUCAGUAUUCUCUAAUAGCUAACGAAAUUACCAAUAGUAUUAAUUGUAUAUAUUUUUAGCUUUAAAUUUCAGAGUACAUCGAUAACAUGAGGCAUGUUCAUUGCUUUUUUUUUGGCCAGGUCUGUACUUAGUUAUUUUAAUAAAUCCCAAAUUAGUCCUAGAUAUACUUAAUAGAUAGAAACACAUCUUUGCUAUAUUUUUAUAUAUUUUUUCUUGGUAGAAACAGUGUAAUAAACUUAUAUUUAUAUCAAAAACUAUCAAAUUUCAACUCAAAAAAAAAUAUUUGACGUAUUUUUGCACUGUUUUUACCACUAAAAAAUGCUCAUAAUUUUAUUAUUUGGUGUCGGCCAUUGCAUGGUAUAUACACAGUGUUUUAGAAAAAUAAAUAUAUAUUUUUUAUACAAAAAUUUAUUUUUAUUUUACUAGAACAUUUUGUAUAUAAAAAUUUAUUAUUGUUAUUUUAAUCAUACACAUAUGUAUUUUAUUCUGUUAUUUGUUAUUUUAUUAUAUGACUCUUAUUGCAUGAGUUGCGGAUAAUAAAAUAAAGAAAAAUGUCAUUUUGUUUUAAUUUUCUUUUUUCAGAAAUUAAGGGAAGAAAAAAACAAUCAGGUAAAGCAGACAAAGAUUUAGGGUUUUUGAGGAUAGGUUCGUUUAAUGUGAGAGUAAAGAAAACCACAGAAGCAUUCAGUAACUUUCUGGGAGUAGGAAGUAGCAGUUCUGUCACUCCUGUUGAUUCAAUGUCUGAUAAAGUACACAAAGGGUGGGGAUCAGCAGAUAAUCUCAACAAAGAAAUCAUUAUGGGACCUC